UGCAUUUGAAAUUUCUCAGUACCUUCUUCAUUCUGGGCUGCUUCAGCUCUCAUGGGCUUUUGUCAUUCGUCUUUCCAUAGUAACAACCAUCUGUACAAUGAGCAGUAAAUUCAUCUAGACAAAUCACAGAAGAAGUUAACCAAGAGUAAGGGUAAGCAAUAAAGAAGACUUUCGUGCAGACCACACUCCUUCAUUGAAGUAGACAUUGCAUUCUAAAUUCAAUCGAGCAGAUAUGUAUGAGGAAAUUGCCAAGACUCAGACAAUCACAUGCACACUGACCUUAAAGUUACCAAGUAAACUUAUCAAUAGUAUUCCAGUAAAAAGAAUCAAUAGUAGUUCAAAAAUAUCAAUUGAAACCGUUUCAGUCCAAACAGGGCAUUUAUUUUGCAAGCAGAGAGCUUGCAGAGGUGCCUUGUAUUUAUUCAACAAAAUAUUUUUAGAGGAAUUGUCUUGGUAAGAAACACUUAUUAGCUAACUUCUUUUACUGGAGGUGUAAGGACAAGAGUAACUCAUGCUUAUUAGAGGAUACUGACAAACGUAGUCACAUUCAGACAGUACUUUCCUUUUGCAAGAAGUGUUCUCUUCAGUUUUUUUUACCCAAGUCACAUAAAUUACUACAGUCUUUUAUAAGCCACUGCUCACCCAAUAUACUCCGUAGAAGUUUUGCUUGUGCAUGAGUGUGUGACAUGACUGUCAAGCUGCGGCUGCAACUAGAGUGAGACGAGCAGGUAGCAGAACUAUGGUGAUUUGACUGAUUGGCCACCUAGGAUGGCUACGCCAGGUCUUGUAUAAUCUAUAUAUAUGGUUUACCGAACACCGAGAUAUGCACAGAUAAUUAUGGUGUUUUAUGGUGUCUGCUUGAACAUUAUUCAAUUAGUGAACAAAGGAACUGGUGAGCAUGUGUCCAAAGAAAUAUAUAGUAAUGUCUCAGUUGACUGAAAAACUUCAUAACUUCCUAGUUCUUAUGCACACAAAAAUCAAAAGCCCUUCUGGGUGGGAGUGGGACACAUAUACUAAUUCUUUUAUUCAGUUGGUAAUAGGAUACUUGAAGUCUUGAGCUAAGAAAUAGACUGAGCAACUAUUUCAAACAUGGCCAGCUCCUAUAGUGUGACAGGUGAUGUGUACAAGCCCCCAGAACUCAACUUUAUAAAUGGUCAGCCUUGCAGCAAUGGAGACAAACUCUGCAAGCAAGUAAAUCACACUAUUUCUGACCGAUUACAUGUGAAGAUAAUAACUUCAACACAAUAACACAUAUUCCUAUUGUAGCUUCAAAAAUUCAAGUGGCUUAAGGACCAGCAUUGCUAAUCUCAUAAUGAGAAAAAAAGGAAAAUACUAGUAGAGUGGUAUUCUGAGAGUGACACAAGAGGGAAGAUGCAUAUGGUACAAGGAACGAAAGCUGCCACUUAGUGGCCUGUGGCUCUACCGCUCCAGUGCUACCCUUUGGAGGUACCGUGGUAGAAUGAGGUCACCAUUUUUCUUAAGAAUAGGUCGUAGUUGCUUUCUGUGAGGUGGUCCUGCGUGCAAGGAAGAAGGCAUUCACAUGGAAGCAAGCAGGAGGAUCCAUCUCGAGCUGUUUUGUUUUGCAUGACAGAAGAUGGCAGAAUGGUCCCAGUACGUUGGCACACGGGUCAUGCACCAAGGUUGACGUGACCACAACACCAAGCAUCAUAGCCUUGCAGGCUGUAGCACCUCCGUAUCUCCAUGGUGUUCAUAAUUGUUAGUGCCACUAAAAUAUACCCUAAAUUAGAAUAUGCUUCUAGAUCAGGAGCAUACAGGACAGGCUAAUUAUUUUGACAUCACGAGUAGAUAUUCUGGGAAAAGGGAUGUCAUGGAAUAGAAGAGAUGUGUCAUGCGGAAGCAAAUCAUAGGAUUGGCGCAAGCUCAAUGGCAUAAGAGGUUUUCUCAUGUCUAAAUGUCAGUUACUACUAUAUUUUGCAUGCGGCUAAAUUCCAUUUUCAUCAACAAUAAUUAGAUGGAAUGUAGAAAGGAAAGGAAAGUAACUUACAGUAUUAUAUGCAUAUUAUUCGACACCUUCAGCCUUAAUUCCAACAAAGUAAAAAGAUCAACGCAGCAGAGGUUCAGACUUUAGAGGCUUCUUAGUCAGGAUUGAAAUUGUGGUUCAGCCUGAAAUCAUUUCAAAAAAUUUCAUGAUCAGAAAGCUGCAGAACCACGCUUUUUCAAUAUACCCACUGAGACAGAUUUCAUAGUAAACAUUAGCAGGAUCAUAGCUUCUUAGCUCAACCAUAUGUUUCUAGUACAUAUGGAAUCUGAAAAAUAAAAUGCUAUUUACCAUGUGAAAGUAAAAAAGAAACAGAUACGAUGGAUCACUCCAUGGAUGCCAAAGAACUAUAUAUGUUUGGGAACUUUGAAUGAGCCUGCAACUGAAUCAAGCAAAAUGAAAAAAACAAAGAGCACCACUAUCUGAGUAACUAAGCGCCUGCUUGGGCUGGAAAAACUUAUACUAUAGUUUGCUUCCAUCAGGGUGCUUAACUACCUGGUACGAUUUUCAACCUUGUCGCAAUCUCCAAGUUCCUUGGCGAAAAAAGCC
rnacentral:lncRNA from 1 species